rnacentral:rRNA from 1 species
ACCUUCGGGAGGGCGCUUACCACUUUGUGAUUCAUGACUGGGGUGAAGUCGUAACAAGGUAACCGUAGGGGAACCUGCGGUUGGAUCACCUCCUUACCUGAAAGAA